ACUUGCUUCUCAUUCUUUUAUUGACACUUUGGCAAUGUUCUUUCACCUCUGAGGAGCCUCUUACCAGGUACACAUGGGAUCAGUCAGACCACUGGGACUGCAGAGUUACAGUUUUCAUGAGAUUUAGGCACAAGGCAAUUUUAAAGGUGGCUUGAAAGGUAAUUUGGGAGAGAAGGAAAUGUGGAAGCUGGCCAGGUGGACAAUGCUGCAAUAUGAAUUUCUGCUGCUGAAGAAGGUGCACAAGCACAGCUAGGGACUGCAUCAUCCAUGUGCAGCAGGUGACAUUUCCUCACACACCUCUUCAGGCCUCCUAGCUAAAGCAGGGGGUGUUUAUAAGGGAAGUUUUUCUGGCAUGACCACACAUACAUUAGAAAUUGGACUAAGCCCAUGAAGUUCACAGUGGAUCAGAGCUGCAUUUUGGAGCAGUGAUGUCGAGGUUUACUGACUCCAUUGCUGGUUCCCAAUCUCUUGAGCCAUCUGGCUCCUUAUCAGUAUUUUAUUUUUCUCAGCUGAUUCAAAUGCAGAGGCCCUGCUCUGGUGUGAUGGCAUUUUGAACUAAAUCGACAGCCAAUUUGGAUUACGAAACCAUGAAACAAAGAAACAAAAGUCCCUCCCAGCAAAAGGUGUCUGAUGACAUUUACGGAGUAGGAGUAGGUGGCUCAGAGUCUUCAGGGGAAAUUCCAGAUGGAUAGGAAAGUAGCAGUGAUACAGCCAACCUUUACAAAGGGUGGGAUGGGGGCAUGUGGUGAAGCACCGGAGGAGCUGUGGUUAUGAGAUCAGAUGGGUGGCCUGGGGAAAGUCAGAGGAGAUGUGUGGAAAACCAGUGGGCAGCUCAAAGUGUGAUACAGAGAUAAGCAUGAGAUGGGAAGGGUGUGGUAAGACAACUCCAAAGGACUAAAUGCUUGCUUAACGCCAGGACAAGAAGCAGGUCAAGCCUAAUGAUGUCGAGAGAAUACUCCAUGCCCUGGGUUAGUCAUGCUCCUGAGUGCUGGGCUGAAUCUGGGCUGUGUUUGACCCUCCUGCUCCAUCCCGCAGGAAGCCAGGAUUGAGCAAGACCACACAUCACACCACACACCUCCGGAGGGAAGUGAUUAAGCCAUGAAUAAGAGAUCCACCAGCUGUUGUGCUUUGUGUGUGUGCACACACCAUGGAACUACUGCAAAAAGCUAAACCUAGGGCCAAGGGAGCCUGGGACCAAAGGUGAGACCUCCAUGAAGGACCAUGACAACAACUGCACGACUAAAAGCAUGAGCAAUGGAAACAGACACCACGCUGGCAUGGAUGUUUGAAUUUGGCAUCUUAAUUUUAAACAAAGGAGGAUAGAAGUGUAUUUUUCAAAUCCUUCUCAUUAAGUAAUGCCCCAAACUCCCAUUUCAGUGGAAGUUAAACAUACACACAUCUUUGGUGCCCUUGAAAAUUUCAACCUAGCUUUCGUGUCAGCUCUACAAAGACAGGUGGGGGUUUUUGUAGAAGUCUAUGAUAGCUGGCUUCAGAUUCAGCCCUGCCAUGUUUCUGAGCAGCUUUUAUGCCUGGCCACAAUGCAUUUUAAAAUAAUUGGCAAUUACAACAGAAGACUAAUCCCCAAGACUCCUACCACUGGCUUCUGUAAAAACAGCCUUUUACACUACAGGCACGUAUCUUCCCCGGUGACUUUGGACUUGGACUUGCUGUCUGCUCUGAGAGUAGAGGCUGAGCAGGCCUGAGCUGGCCAUUUUCACUUGCACAGCAACCACUCCAAGCACCCAGAGUUGAAAUGGUGGCAUUGCCACCCAGCAGCCCCCAUGGCACUGCCCCCAGACUGCAGACAUGCACUGGCUGGAGGAGUAUUCGACCACUCUGGGGAUGUUGGAGUGUGUUGGAGUAGUUGGGGGUGGCUGGCUACAGCUUUCAUUCUCUCUGGCAUCUCCAGAAACUGAAACGAGACAGGAAAGACACAGAAAAAGAGGGAGAAAAUAAAGACACUGAGGGAAUCUGGAAACCAUACACUGGGGAAAGGAUGGGCAAGAAGAAGGGAAAAAAGCAGUGAUAGGAAGAAAGAAAGAAAAAGUCACAGUGAAAGAAGCACAGCAGUAACCCCUGUGAUGGAAACAGAAGCAGUUUGAGGUUUGUAUGCAUUGUGGCUGGGCUCUUGCCCGUGGUGUUUAACUUCACAAACUAACCCAGCCAUUAUGCACCGAGGGAUCGUUAAUGCAGCAGAUGCAGCCAGACAUACGUAGGAGUGUGUUAAUAUAAGGCCUGAUGUAAAAAACACCUGCUAGUUUGGCAGGGUGUCUCAGGAAAGAUACUUGUGGCUCGUGUGAGGGUGCAGUAUUUACUAAAGUAUCUGCUGCUUUCCCCUCACAUCACGUGCAAUUCCCAUUUGCCUUACUGGGAGCUUUGCAUAGUGGCAAUGUAAGAGACUCCAGGCUGAACCUGGAUGGAGCUGGUCCCAUUUACGCUAGAAGGGAAGCUGAUGUCUUAAAUGUUCUUUUUUUUUCCAUCCAAAAUAUUUAGAACAUGGAGAGGAAUUCUCUCUCUGCAAUACCUAGGCUCUAGGACUGCCUUGUUUACAAAGGCUUAAGUUUUUAUAACCCUGAAGGAAUUGCACUGAUGCCAUGCAAGGGGAAGAGGCACUUUUGGAAGAUGAUAACAAUGUGGCUGUGUUAUCCCAAGCCCUGAUGCUGCUGAAGUGGAUGUGUGCCAUUACUGAAGUGUUGGAAGGGCUGGCACACUGUCCCGGGAUGAGAUUCUCUUACAAACCAGAGAUGGGGCUGGUACCAGGCAAUCAGGCAGCAGUACAGGGCCUGGCUGCUUCCAGGAGCAUCCCAGGGAUGGAGGGCUCUGGCUCACAUGCAGAGAGCAGACAGCUGCAGUGGUUUCAGAUGUUCCCCCACAGCUGUCUGUCCCAGCUCUCGGUGGGAGGCUGCCUGUGAGCAGGGCUGAGGGAAUGGGAGGGAUGCCUGUGCCUCAGCUGUCCCAGCUCAGGGCCCAGGGGAUGCAUGGAGAACACAGAUGGAGAGGCUGCUGCGUGGGCACCUCCAACACAAACUGGGGAGGCACCUCUGGCACACAUGCAAAGUGUGAUGAAGGCAAUACCAUAAUUGUCCCAUGAAAACUAAUUAUAACUCAUUUGCUAGGACCCUCAGCAAACAAAUUUUUUUCUCUGCUUCCUCAUUGUUCCAUGAGAUUUCUUUCCCAGGGUUUGCUUACUUUUGCCUCUCUGCCUGCCCAGCUGUCCUUACUGGAGCUCUGUCAUCUCCCACUUCCCAUUUCUCCACAAGGUGCACACACAGGGAAGUCUCUGGCACAGGUAGCCACGCUAUGGGAGCUGGUGCUGGACAGCCAGAACCACAGCCAGCCCCAGCAGUGAGCCCAGACACAAAGAAAGGAUGCAGGGAAAACUGCUCUUUUAUGUCCUGUCUCUUGCCUUUCUUCUUGGCAUUUUAAACCUUUUCUGCUCACCUUUCCAGAUUUCCUUCCAGCCCCAAAAAACUACAGCAACACAACCCACUGCUUUGUGUUUCAUUCUCAGUCUCGCAGUCGCCACUUUAUUUUGCCUUUUCCCAGUUUCAUGAAAGAACGCAGUCGCAUGAAUAACAGGAUUAUUUAUCAUCCUCUCCCUCCCCUUCCAGGAUGGCUUGCUGUUUAUGGAAAGCACUGGAGUGCAGGAGAGAUCGUGCUACAGUUAAACAGACAAUACUUAAAGGGCCAUUGCCUGCUCUCUGCUUUACUCCUCAUUGACUUCCAAGAAAGAGGGACUUCUGUAUCCCAAUUGAUGGGAAUGACAUCACAAACCACUGCUGAAAGGUAAAAAAAAAAUGCUCUGUUCAAUAGGAUGGAGAAGAUGGUUGGACUUGGUGAUCUGAGAGGUUUUUUCCAAGCUAAAUGAUUCUACAAAUCUAUGGUUCUUCCCUUCACUUCUUGCAAGAGCCAGGAAAUUAAUUUCUGGUGUAAAUGUGUGUGUGUGGUCCCUUUCUAGCCCAGCAGUGUAUCAGGAGCAUGCUCCCAGGGACCAUAUAAUGGUGGCUAGCAGGUGACUGACCACAUUCAGACUCCUCCAUGUGACACAGCCAAAUGAUGUGACCAAAGGUGCUUCUCAGAGGUCUGCUGGACCUGGAAUUUAGCAGGGCAAUGAUGAAACUUGUCCCGAGGUGGUGAGAAAUGGCUUUGAAAAUGGUUGCUACCAGCUUCUCACCUGGAGUUUGGCCAUGGCUCCAUGGUAGGUUCUCUACAUCCUCCCUGCAUUUCUGAUUACUUGUAGCUAUGGAAGAUCUUGAUGAGCUCUCAGGAAGAAAUCACCAAUGUGUUGAGAAUAAACAUCUGGAAAGCACUGAAUUCCCUGGGAAUUUCUGCUGAGGAGCAGAUGCCACCACAUGGGUUGCCUGCUCUGGUCUGACCACCACCAUCAGUGGGUCUGUGGAUACCAGUGUGUCUCUAAAGGAUGGAAGUGCUCAGGGAGGGUGAGUUUGGAGACUCAGUGUGGGCUCCAUGAAGCUUUUCUGUAACAAUCCUGCUCUGGGCUGGGGACUUCAGGCAUGAUGUGCAGCCACUGAGAGCAUGUGAGGACUAGGCUGCUGUUGGUGUAAGAAAAUGAAAAGAAAAAUGCAAAAACUCUACACUGGAGUUUCUGGUAAAAAAAAAUAAAAAGAAAACCAAUCACCAAUCCUUUACUUGCUCUUCUCCUUCCCUUAUAUUAACUAGGUUUCUGUGACAAAAAGGGUCAGAAAUUCAAUUAGGAAGCUUCACAGGCAUUACAAACAUUUCCAGUUCAAAGUCAGCAAUUGCAGUACAGGAGCCUCCAUAUCUCCUGUGUCCUUUAGGUACUGCUGGACCCUGCAGUCUCUGGUGUGCUCGGAGCUGAAAAUGUGUGUAUCAUUCUCGUGAGUUUUUAUUGUAAGGGAGGGAAUCUCACAGGACAAAUGUGUAAUGUAAGAGCAACAAGGUUGCAUGGAUACAAGAACACAAAUGGGGCGGCUCACACUUUGAGAAUACAAAUUCUUCAGGAAGAACAACUAUCUCACUGUGUUUGGAUGGAGCUUAAUAAAACUGACUGCUCCAAGCUAGGCCUCUACAGGCCUCCAAGCUACAAACAAUGGAGAAUAAUAUCACAAUUUUAUGGUGCUUAGCAUGGCUGAGCUACAUCCUGGAUGGUCUCCACAGAAUCACUGCAACUGGUGUUGAUUUGAGUCAGAGGAGAAGAGCUUUACACCCCCAUUGCUGAGGAGACAUGAGCACACCACGCACAGGACCCCAGGGGCUGAGCCCUGUGCGCAGUGCUCUCAUUUACAGCAUGUAUCAGCAUACCUUCAGCUGGGCUGGUACUUUUACAGUCAUUCAGCUGGAUGAACUACAUAUUCCUGACAAAACACAGCCCAUUUUUAUUAGCUUUAUCCACCAGGCUGAGGAUAUCCCGCACUCACAGCAGCUCCCUUGUCCCACAGGGGUGGGGAGCAGGGAUCAGCUUCAUAUACCCACUAAAAUAGCGGCCAGUGCUGGUAUGCAAGUGCCCUAGUUCAAUGCCUAAACAUGGUAUCUUGCUACCCAGGCUGGCAGGGCUGCCAGUUCGUGCUCCAGCCCUGAAGGUGAACUGUGUGUCACUCAGCAGUGGCUGCAGCAGCAGGGAAGGUCAAACAGUCCCUCACUUUCAGCCGUGCUGCUGAAGCUCCUGGGCAGGAACAGCUGGGCACAGGGGAGAGAGGAGCACAUUAACAAGAGCUUUACUACCUGCGUCUCUUGGCUAUUAAAUGAAUUAACAUCCCCAGAGACGUUUGGGUCUAACCCCCACUGAAGUCAAAAGGGCAAUUUUGGGUGGAGGACCAGCUCUACAGGGACCCUGCUCCAUUCAUUGGAGAGAAAAACAUCUCCAGAAAUAUUGUAGCUUUAAGUGUCAACCCAUAUAAGUGGAUGCUAGCCAUGGCCAUCCUCUGUGUUUGGGGCAGAAACGUCAUGAAACCUUUCCACGCCACUUCUGCUCACUCCUCUUAGCUGAAACCUCGUAGCAGAUUUGCAUCUCAUGACUAUUUAAGAACAUUAUCAACUGUGAAAGCAUCUGGAAAGCUGCACCAACAAAAGUUACAAAGACAACAAAGCUCAGCCAGAAGGACGGAGCCAGCGCAAGGAUCCAAAAAGAAGAACUGGAAAAGAAGGAAAUCAUGUUUGUAGGUGCACUAGCUGGAAUAAUAACAGCCUUGCUUGUUCUGCUUGCAGAUUUCCUUGCUGCUCUUUAUGGGCUGAUUGAGGGAACAGUGUGUCUGCCAUCAGUGCCUUCUGCAUUUGUAAUCCUUGCCUGCACUGCACCUGCACCUGUGCCAGCCUCAUGCCACAGGCAGGCAGCAACCAAGCUGCAGAGCAGGAAAAUGACCUCCCCCCACCAUGGCCACAUGCCCCUCUGAAGCUACAGGCCAAAAAAAUGUUCAAAACCAGAGAGGAACCACCCAAAGUUGGUGAUCUUCCUGUCCAGCUUUCUGGAUUUUAUGUUCUGCACUUUUAUCCUUGGUUAUACACUGUAGGGCACUGGCAGAAUGGUGCAGGGCAAAAUAACUAAGAGUAUUUCCUAUGGUUCCUUUCCAGAGCCAGGACAGAUGUGGUGGCAGGAUGUAUCCUGCAGAACACACUGAGCAGCUUUGGCCAGCCCCAAACACACCCUACAAUAAAAGCAGGACACUCUUCAAAAAAAACCCCUUACCCAAACCCAUUGUUUUGUUAAUUUUAACUGGCUUAUCUAUAAGGCAAAAAAACCCCACUAAAAUAAAACCUGAAAAAACUUUCCCAAUACUCCCUCAGCAGGAAUGUCAUUGCAAUGAAAUGGUUCCUCAGUAUCAGUCAGGAGGGUCAAACAAGUGUUGUUGCAGCCUGAGCUCUGAAAUAGAUGCUCUGGGUUUCAGGUACCAUUUUGAGCCAGCCCAGUGCCCCCUGUGGCUCCAAACACCACAGUGCCCACCUUGCUGGCCAUCCCCGACUGCACCUCUCCCUGUGACCUUCCCCCAGCACCCAGCUGUGAAACAUCAGCUGCUCCUCUUACACUGCCUGGCCUCUGUUUCUAAGAGCUGAGCCAGCAGAGAUUUGAAUGAGCUCUGUAGUGGGUGCUGGAAGCCUGAUUUGGGGCACUCUAAAUUUGGGGCUUCAGGUGACUCCACCCGCACAAAACAGCACUGGUGACACUCUAGUGGUCUCAUUGUGUGUCAAAGAGCUUCUGCAUCCCUUCCCCCAUGCCAAGUGCUGUGCAAACCCUGGGAAUCCUCCCUCUCAACACUCUGUCAUGGUGUAAUUCCAUUAUAAUUCCUGACAUUUGAGAGGCUUCUAACAGUGCGUGCUUUAAAUUAGACAAGCAAUAUCUUGCUCACUGCUCUCAGAUAAAUAAAAAAGUGUAAAACUCAAUUUUCUGACACUGUUCUUGGUACUGAUUUCCUUUUAAACCUGUAACUACCAUGCUGUCACUCCUUCCUCAUGUGUGGCUUGUGGGUAUUGCAUAAAAGGUGAUAUUCCAUGUCUGGGGCACACAUGUGCAAUAGAUGUGCAGACCACAGGAAGGUGCCAUGCUGAAGCAAACAUACUCUGGUGUUUUGUUUUUCACACAGCUGUAUGUAGGGACUUAGAGGCAACAAAUACAAUUUUAGAUCAAACAAUAGACAAGGACAAAAUGUGUUUUGUAAGCAGACAAACAACCUAAAUAUAAAGUUGUUUGCAGAAUCUGUGUGAAUUUUAUUUAUGUUUCUUGGUCUUUGCUCUCCUCUGGGACCUUACAUAUUUUGCAUUAUUAUCAAAUAUUUGUAAUGAUCCCUAUAAACAGUCUAAUGUUAAAAGCUACUCCAAGUGUAACUUGAUCCAGAGGAAAGAUGCUUAUCUGAGCUCCACAAUGACAGAUUAAAAAAAGUUGCUGAUGCAGUAUGCCUCUUGUAAAACGAGGGAAAUAUAAGAAAAAUCAAAACUGCACAGCUUUUUUUUUUUUUUUUUUUUUACCAUAAGAUAAAGCAGGAGUUCUCUCUGUUGGCUUUUGCAGUGAAAUACAAGAGCAAGACCUACAAAUAUACAGCACUUCUGAUCCCAAAUGCACUAGCCAACCAAGGAAGGAAGCAGAGGAGUAAAUGCUCAGCCAGCCCGUACUGUCAGAAUUUAUUUCACUGUUUAGUAAUUAUUUUUUUUAUUACUAUGACAACACGGGCCAUAAGAAUUGCUUCUUUAACCCCAGCAAAUAAGACUGUGCAGAUGAGACUUUUUUUUGAACUGAAGUAAUUGCUUUUUACUUCUGCUGUGUAAGAAAGUGAUGGCACUACCAGAGCGUCCUGCCCUGCUCUGCCUCCUCCUGCCCUGCAUGGAUAGCUCUGCUGCAGUGUGGCACUCGGGUCAUUAUUUU
ensembl:lncRNA